AGUGAACGCUGGCGGUAGGCCUAACACAUGCAAGUCGAACGGCAGCACAGGAGAGCUUGCUCUCUGGGUGGCGAGUGGCGGACGGGUGAGGAAUACAUCGGAAUCUACUCUGUCGUGGGGGAUAACGUAGGGAAACUUACGCUAAUACCGCAUACGACCUACGGGUGAAAGCAGGGGACCUUCGGGCCUUGCGCGAUUGAAUGAGCCGAUGUCGGAUUAGCUAGUUGGCGGGGUAAAGGCCCACAGAGGCGAAGAUCCGUAGCUGGUCUGAGAGGAUGAGCAGCCACGCUGGAACUGAGACACAGUCCAGACUCCUACGGGAGGCAGCAGUGGGGAAUAUUUGACAAUGGGCGCAAGCCUGAUCCAGCCAUACCGCGUGGGUGAAGAAGGCCUUCGGGUUGUAAAGCCCUUUUGUUGGGAAAGAAAUCCAGCUGGCUAAUACCCGGUUGGGAUGACGGUACCCAAAGAAUAAGCACCGGCUAACUUCGUGCCAGCCGCCGCGGUAA
rnacentral:rRNA from 1 species